rnacentral:misc_RNA from 1 species
GUGAAAAUUUCAUAGCAUUAGCAUUUCCGUUUCAUGAAAUUACUCCUCAAUUGAGGAACCAUAUGCCCAUACGACAUUACACAGCUCAAACAGUUCCUCGAAAAGCAACAAAACUAUCGAGUCAUGCAAAUAACAAAUCCUACAAGCAAAAUUCAUUAACACAAAAAUAACCCCUUGAUACAAAUUGAGUGAUCAGCAUAAGGGCACUUAAAUAGGCUUGAUCUUGAAAUGUAGUGAGAUGAGGGAGAAAACAAAGCACUUCAAGUCCUGAACAAGGUAAUAGAAAAUACGAAGUCCUUCAGGAUCCUUACUACUCUGGACAUCGACAAGCGACCCAAUCUUUGAGGUAGUGAAGGAGAUAUGCUCGUUUCCCAUCACAAUCUCAAGCUCUUGUCGCCCAACCCUGUCCGGUUCUGGCCAGUUGGCAUCAUCUUCCUUCAUGAUCUGAGAAACAAAAUCAUUUGAACCAAAUCAUAAAUCACAUAACUACUAAAAAAUUUAAAAAAUAAAUAAGCAUAUUUCCAGCGCACAAGCGCUCUCAAUACACGUAACAAAUAAACUGCUCCAAAUGCAAACCAAAUAAAUCAGGAAUUCAGAAGAAAAAAUCUCCAACGUUAUUGUUAAGCUAAAAGCCUAAAACUCAACAAAUAGACCAUUGAUUUCAUAACUACAAGGAGCAGCGAUUCCUUUAAUGCAACAAAUAUAAUGAUGAACUGAGAAAAACAAAACCCCAAGCUCCACAAGGUUCUAGUUAAGCUUCGAUGCAAACCCCUAAAUUGAGAUUCAAAAACUCAGAAAAAUAUUCCGAAGAAUAUAGAUGAAUAUAUGUUGCCCGGGUUUAGAACUUGAGGGGGUUUAUAUAUAUAUAUAUAGGACAUUAGUUGAAAUGACAAUUGCAAGCCCUCAGACUGAGGAGGCGAAGGGAAGAACAAACCCUAAGAGAGAGAAAGCAGCAUUUUAGAGAAAAAAAUAAAAUAAAAUAAAGAGGAAGAAAAAGAAACAAAGAAAAACUCGCUCUCGGAGAUGAUACGGCAGCACUCCUUAAGGACGGCAGGGGUGAGGAAGACCUCCUUGCGGAUCAUGGUGUCGUUCUUGUAAUUGGAGUUAUUGGCGUAUCGAAGCUUACCAUCUGGUCUGAACUCGAACUCAAGGAACUCGUGGCCGAAUUUUCCCUUGUGUCCCACGUAGUAUCGAAGGUAGAACUCAUCAUCUUCUGCUGCCAUUGCCAUCUUUGCGAAUUAGACUCUCUCUCUCUCUCUCACAAACGCAAAUUGCAAUCACUUCCCCGAAUUCACUUCCCCUUUCAGUUGAAUUGAGCGCUGCCCUAGUUCCAGGGCUCUACAUAUUUAUACUUCUAGGCCGCUUCCUAAUUCAACACCGAC